UCUCGUCCUUCAGUUUUGGCUUACAACCUACUUAUCCUCUUCUUCUCACAAAAGUCUUCCGCAUCUCCACCUUCCUCCGGCGAUCUCUUGCCCAGCCACGGCGGAGAUGGUGCCCAAGCGUGUAUUCAUGGCCAUGUGACAUGGGGAAAGAGAAGGCGGUCGCCGUGAAGGGACCGAGGCUUAGGCCGUGCAUGUGCCCAUGAGACUACAGCGCAUAUGCGAGGGGGCUGAUUCCUUAGGCGUCCAUGGCAUGAACCUUGGUUUAUGCUUCAAGGCAUGAUUUUUUUGUUAAUCCUUUCAAACAGAGUUGAUUUGUUUUUCCUUCUAUCGCUAUUCGUGCUGAUUCAACUUUGCUCUCUUUCGCAGAUCUAAAGCAAUCAUGACAUCGGUAUGAACAUAAAUCGCCCAACUUAAAUGAGAUUCGCCCUGACGGAGGUAGAACUCCGAGUCCAUGGAUUAGGAUUUGCAUGGUGCAUGGUGUUUCUGUUUUCCUCUCUAUUUUUUAUUCGAUUGUUUGUUUGUCUGUCUUUCUGUAUCUCUGAGUUAAUUGUUCUUUUGCAGCUUUGAAUUAACUCUUUCCUGAUGAACUCCGGCGAGCUCUUUUGCAUGAAGCCGACGUGGCCGUGAGGAUGUCCGUGAGCCGUGCAUCUUCCUCUCGGAAUUCCUCUCCUCCUCUGGAAAGUCCUGCCCAACUCCACAUAGCUUCCUCCGGUGAGCUCUUGCUCAGCCACGGCCGAGGCGACCGGGAUGAAAGUCCCAAGGCAUAUGCUUGACGUUCAUGUGACAUGGAGAAUGAGAGGCUGUGCCGGACUAUGUAUGUUGGUUGUCCUCUGGACCUCUUUCUUCUAGUGAAUCCCCGGCGAGUCCUGUUCAUGCCCGGCGAGGUGGCUGAGAUGGUGUCCGAGGCAUAGGCCCGUGCAUGUGCCUCUGGGGCUACGGCGCGCAAGUCACGAGGCUGAAUCCUCAAGUGUUCAAUGGGACGAACCAGAGUUUAUGGAGACGGGAGAGGAGGCACAGUGGUCCAAGUCAAUAGUAAGAUUGUUAUACUCCCUCCGUUCCAUUCUCUGAUUUUCCUUCUAUUGUGUAAUCCUCAAGUGUCAAGGUGAUUUUCCUUCUAUUUAUGGAGUACUAGAUUCGAGCUGAUUCAACUUUACCAUUUUAUCAGAUCAACCGUUGCCACGGCAACUCACGGCUUGAAGAGGCUCGACAGAUGCAUGAUUAGUUCUUGUUCCAAGGUAUUUCCUGUACUAAUUUCGUAAUCUCUUCAUCCCGAAUUACUUCUCUUGAAUUUGUCUAAAUACGGAUGUAUCUAGACACGGUUUAGUGUUAGGUACAUCCAUGUCUAGACAAAUGUAAGACAUGUAAUUUGGGACAGAGGUAAAUACUACUCCUUCUGAUAUAAGAAGGGUUUUGACACUACACUAGCCUAAAAAAUACUUUUAUAUUAUGGGGUGAAGGGAGUAGCUUAUGUUCUGUAUAUCUUAGUUAAUUUUUCAGUGCAAGUUUUCAUUUGUGUCAUUGAUAACUCUUGUUUCUACUUUCUAUUAUCUCUGGCGAGGUAAGAGCAACUUCAAAGGGCCGACCCAUUUCGUCCGCCUGCGUCCAUUUAGGUCGGCGCGAACAAAAGUGACGGCCCAACGCGCCGACCUAAAUCCAAAUCUUGUCCGCGUCGCGUCCGCGCCGACGCAUUUGCGGCCUAAAUUUACGUCCCAAAUGCGUCGGCGCGAAUGCCGAACGGACGUUUCGCGCGCCUUCUCGCUAUCCGCCGCGUCCCCAUAUGGCAGCCGUCCAACUACCCGCUGCCCACGCGGUCAGCUUAAUUUAUGACGACGGGCCCACGCGUCAGCGACGGCGCUCGUCCUUUUUUAAGCCGACCGUGCGGCGGGGCCGUCCUCAUCCAAACUCGCCGUCCACAUCUGCCCACCUUUGCUCCCUCGUCGCCGGCAAACCCUAGCCACCACAACCACAGCGAGAUGGGCCUCUUCUCCGGCGCCAGCGGCAGCAAGGCCAAGGGCAAGUCCCCCGCCACCCCUUUCCCCUCCGAGUUCCUCCCACCUCCGUCGGCGCCUCGCCGGCAGAGGCAGCGCGUCAACGUGCCAGUGCAACAGGCGGAGUGGCACUGGCAGAACCGCUAGCCUCUGCCGUAUCCGGACGUGACGCUACCGCACGACUGGCAUCUGGAUCCAGAUAGGAUACCAGUGCCAGCGGCGCCGCGGACGGCUCGUGCUCACGCGAAGGAGGUGCGGCGCUGGCGGGCGCUGCUGACGCCGGAGCAGCGCCUCAACAAGGCCUACGCAACCGACUCGCCCAAUUGGGCGAGGUGGUUCGCCUUCGAGCACGAGGAGGCGAGGCGACGGGGCGUGUGUGAGGUCGACCGGAGGUCGCCGCCAACGCCGCUCGUCGUCCGCGAGGAGGACCAGGCGGCGGAGGACGCCUACCAGGCGACCCUUGCGGCCGUCUACCGGGAGAGCGAGGAGGACGAGCGGCGCAGAGCGGAGGCGGAAGAGGAGGCCUAGUACGAGGCGGCAAUGGCGCAGGCCCUUGCCCUCUCCGGGGCGGGCGACAGCGUGGUGCCGCCGGUGGCCCCGCCGUCCCCCAUCAAGCCGGAGCCGCAGCCGGAGCCCGAGCCCGAGCCCAUCGCGCGCUUCUCCUGGAAUGGAGUGGUGCGCGAGUGGGUGUCCGCGCCACCGGUUUGGCUGGGGGCGACGCCGGGCAGGAGCAGGCGUACCUCGAGAUGUGGCGCCAGCGCCGGCUGGCAGAGGAGCGCCGUCGCGGCGAGUACGAGGAGAUGCUCGAGCGCGACCUUGAGGAGGAGCAGCGCGAGGCCGAGGAGGAGGCGCGCCAGGCCGCGGCUGCACAGGCGGCUGCACACCCCCCGCCCCGGCACUGCCUGCGCCGGCACAGCCCGACAUGACGGCGCUCUGGAACACGGCGUUCGCCUGGGCCGGGCCGGCGCCGACGCUCAUCGACCUCACGGACCCCAAGGACAACGAUGACGACGCCUAGGGCAGCGCGCCGCCUCGUAGUUUAGGCUGUUUUUUUAAAUGCAAAUGUGGACGCGUGGACUCUCGCCGAUUAAUGUUGUUUCUCUUUUUUUUAAUAUGCAUGCGUUCAUUUUUUUUUGGCGCCGUCAAAAUGGGUCUCAGGCCAGCGUUGGGUGCACAUGCCGACCCAAAUGCGAAAGCGGGCAUCCGUGUCUGUCUGGCCGACCCAAACGGACAAAAAGCGGACGAAAUCGCCGUCCGUUUGGAUCGGCCCGUUGGAGUUGCUCUAAUGUGCCUCUUAUAAAUUUCCUAGUGUACGUGAGAAAUCCAUGUUUCAUUGAUGAAGGGGAUACCAUGGGACUAUGUUAUCCUCUCAACUCUGGCAUGCCUUUGUGUUAAUGUUUGGCGUCGUGACUGUGAGGUAGGUCGAGGCACUUGUGUCCAUGUGCCUCUGGGACUUUGUCGACAAAGUGACCAGGCAACUUCUGACGACAACAUAGGCACUUGUGUGUCCAUGUGCCUCUUGAUCAUUUGUGGAUUCAAGUUUUUUUUUUGGUUCAAUCCUUUGAAACUGACUUGUACUCUUUACUUCUUCGGUACAUUCGAGCUGAUUCAACUUUGCUCUCAUUUGCAG
rnacentral:lncRNA from 1 species